rnacentral:misc_RNA from 1 species
GUAAGUUUCAACUUUUUUCAUCGGAGGGUUGUCUAUUGAUUCACUUAAUUGUUCUGAAAUGGUAGUGAACUAUUAUGACUGGCUAUGCUGGAAGGCUUAUGAUUAAGAGUUUGUUUAUGAAGUAGCACUUUUAUCUGACAAGAAGUAAUUUGUUUUCCCUUCUUCUUUCAUUUGUUUCUUUUGGAUUUUGAGAAAUUUAGCUAGUUGAUUGAUUUGCAAUAUUUAAUUUACUCUUGUUUUGGAGUAGGUGGGGAGGAAUUAAAUUAAAUUCCCUUGCCUGUUAAAAUGAGAAAGGAAAAGGAGAGAAGUGGGUGAAAUGAAGGAAAAAUUUGUAUACUUGCAAUUUCCUUCCAAAUUGGAGAGAAAACAGGGUAAAAGCAAAAGAAAUGAGGGGAAAUAGUUACUAGUUUGCUACUUGUACCCUUUAUUUUAGAAGUUCAUUAAGGUAAG